GUCUACAGCCAUGCCACUCUGAACGAGCCUGAGCCCGUCUGAUUUUGGGGUGGGGCCUGGUUAGUACUUGGAUGGGAGACCACCUAGGAAGACAAGGUACUGUAGGCG
rnacentral:rRNA from 1 species